UGUUAAUAACUCAAUCUGCAGUCAAUAA
rnacentral:sRNA from 1 species